rnacentral:rRNA from 1 species
GUCCCGCCUGCCCUGUGAGAAAGUUUAACGGUCGCGGUAUUUUGACCGUGCGAAGGCAGCGUAAUCACUUGUCUUUUAAAUAGAGACCUGUAUGAAUGGCACGACGAGGGCUUAGCUGUCUCCUUCCCCCAGUCAAUGAAAUUGAUCUGCCCGUGCAGAAGCGGGCAUGAGCCCAUAAGACGAGAAGACCCUAUGGAGCUUAAGGCACCAGGCAGUCCACGUUAAGAACCCCCUCUCAUGGGGAACAAACUAAGUGGAGCCUGCUCUACGCCUUUGGUUGGGGCGACCGCGGGGUAGUACUAAACCCCCACGUGGACAAGGGGACCACCCCUAAAGCCAGAGCCACACCUCUAACUAUCAGAAACUCUGACCGAACAGAUCCGGCAAAGCCGAUCAACGGACCCAGUUACCCUAGGGAUAACAGCGCAAUCCCCUCCUAGAGCCCAUAUCGACGAGGGGGUUUACGACCUCGAUGUUGGAUCAGGACUUCCUAAUGGUGCAGCCGCUAUUAAGGGUUC